AGGUAGCCAAAUUGUGAUCUGGGCUCACCUGGAAGUAAUGGCCUGUGAACAGCAAUGUCGGGGAUGAAGAUGGCUGGGGACUGUUAAUCACAGUGCUCAGCCACAGCAAUCUACCGCAUUAUCUUCAUAUGCAGAGGCUGUUGCCCGCAGUGACAGAGAGCUCAAGAGCUGGACAGGAGAGAGAGACCCAGAGGUACGUUCCACAUGGCCGCAUGCACGCUUUUCCGAGGCAAAAGGAUCAGCUGAGAAGGACCUAGAAGUAGAGUUAUGAGGAAUUUUCGACAAGGUACUUUUUGUUAGAUACUGGCAUGAGUGUGUGGGUUUUUUUUUUUCCUUUUUGGUGUGAAAAUAUUGAAAUCAAGUAACAAAAUUUGCCAUCAAGAUAGGCUGUAAACAUAUCUGUUACAUAAUACUGGAAUAAUACUCCAUGGCUAAUUAUUUCUAGAUAUUUCUGGAGGUUUACAUCCUUUUUCAGUUAUAUUUUGGUAUGACUUAGGUUCCCAAUUGCUAACCUGUUGCAUCUAAGUGUUUGCCUUAGCAAAGUGAU